ACGGGUCUGCGGUGCUGGUCAGGCUUUAAUUUCCUUGAACCAAUGCUCCUUGGAGCAGGGCUUGGUAUAUCGCUUGGCGGGUGUGAUCAUCUCGCGUCAGAUGAACCCGAAGCCUUGCUGCCCUCGCCCACCUGAACCCCGGUUCAGGACGCGAGUCUGGCCCCACUCGCAGACACCUA
rnacentral:other from 1 species